CCAACGGUUUCAUUACAUAAUUUAAACAGGAUUAUUCAUUCUGCCGACAUAUUAAUAUCACACAUCACUUGUAUUUUGUUGGUCAAUACAAUACAGAAGCCUUGGUAGCAAUGACAUUUAUUAAGCAGGAGCAAAUCGGUAACCAAGCAUAACAUACACACAUCGCAGCUCAGUUCAUAUACAUGCAUCUGCAGAAAUGGAAAACGAAAUCCUGGGUUCAACUCUAUCCUGCUUUUACCUUCUCAUCAAAAGUAAACAGUGUAGUUGUUGAAGAGAUGAAACUGUCUACUCAGCUUUCCAAGAUGACAAUGGAGGGGUCUCAGACUCCUUCCAAGUACUAGCCAUUGGAGGACCCUGAACAUCACCUGCAGCCGCGUAAGACUCGAGUUCAGCCAUUUCCUCUGGUGUGAGCUUCACAGCUAAUGCUCCCACAUUUUGGUUGAAAUUUUCAAUUUUUGUUGUCCCAGGGAUGGGGCAAACAUCGCUUCCCUGAUGGUGAACCCAAGCCAAGGCAAGUUGUGAUGGUGUGCAUCCUUUCCUUGUGGCCAUCGCAUCAACACGCUCAAAUAUCUGGGCAUUCUUCUCGAGACUCUCUGGUUGAAAUCUAGGUAAAUUCUGUAGAAGUAUAAAGUUAUCAGUAAAAGAUCAAACUGGUAGUACAAGUUCCACCUCAGUUUUAUAGGAGAAAUGGACAAGUCUUGUAUGUACACUCAUGCCAGUUCACAAAAAACUGUGAUUUUAGACAAUGAUAUGGUCCUCGCAGCAUUUUUAUUAUAAUAUACUUUGUUACCAGUAGCUUUACAAGUUCAAAUGCUAGUUGACAAAAAUUGUUGAAUUUGAUCCCCCAGAUGCGCUACGAGGUCAUGCUCCAACGUGACGCGGAGGCGCUCCGGCUCGAGGAGGAGGAGGAGGGGCGCGCGCGGCUGGCCGCAAUGCCGCCGCCCUGACAGCGUACCAGGCGGCGUUCGGGUGGACUGGCCCUGCUCAGGUUUUCAUCGACCUCACCGACGACGACGGCGUCGACGACAAGGGCAAGGGCAAGGCCGACAACGUCUAGGGCAGCGUGCGGGGCGGCAGCAGGCGGGCGCAGACUUUUUUAAUGUUUUAUUUAAUGUUUAAUUAGAUCUAAGUAGACUUUGGCCGGAGUUUGACCGGCCACUUAUGUUUAAUUAUGUUUAUUUCGUGCAACCUUUUUGUUUAUUUUCCACGCCAGCACAUUUGGAUCGGUCUUUUCGUUGGACGGUCAAGCCGACCCAUUUUAAAAUACGGAUGUGCACAUCCGCCUGGCCGGUCCAAGCGGACAAAGCGCGUAUCCGUUUGGAUCGCCCUGGUAGAGUUGCUCUAAACGCUCUUAUAUUUCCUUACGGACGAAGUACUUUUACGGUGCUCCAGAACCAAGCUAAAACAAGCAUCGAGGCUACCAGCAUAAAGGCAGUCUUCGGCCCUAUCUUCCAAACUGGAUUGUUUGGGCAUGUAAAGGCUGAACUAUCUAUGGUAACCACUGUUGGUCUCUGCACCACUGCACAUACUCUACCAACGGUUUCAUUACAUAAUUUAAACAGGAUUAUUCAUUCUGCCGACAUAUUAAUAUCACACAUCACUUGUAUUUUGUUGGUCAAUACAAUACAGAAGCCUUGGUAGCAAUGACAUUUAUUAAGCAGGAGCAAAUCGGCAACCAAGCAUAACAUACACACAUCGCAGCUCAGUUCAUAUACAUGCAUCUGCAGAAAUGGAAAACAAAUCCUGGGUUCAACUCUACCCUGCUUUUACCUUCUCAUCAAAAGUAAACAGUGUAGUUGUUGAAGAGAUGAAACUGUCUACUCAGCUUUCCAAGAUGACAAUGGAGGGGUCUCAGACUCCUUCCAAGUACUAGCCAUUGGAGGGUACC
rnacentral:lncRNA from 1 species